AUUUUGCGAUUCGGUAUCAUCGGUCUCGAAAACCGGAGUAGGGGCAACUCUACCGGGGGUUCAAAUCCCCCUCUCUCCGCCA
rnacentral:tRNA from 5 species